UUCUGAACCUGCUCCGGUUGGUCGUGAAAGAUCCCCAAAGGGAGACCCUCACUCAAGCCUCGGGAUGUGGCGCGGACCCAAGAGAGACGCGGAGACCG
rnacentral:pre_miRNA from 7 species